CCCACUGGUCCGAGGCCCACGCUUUGAGUAGCAAGACACUGAAUGAUAGAAAUGGAACCAGUUGGCCAAUGAGGAGCAGUGAUGUGUUGGCCAAAUGGUCCCUAUGAUUAGAUAUCUGAGCAGAGUGCCAAGGGAAGGCAGAGUUGCAGCAAAAACACGGGAGGAAGCAUCAACUUGCUUAGCAUACAAGAUACAUUUGAAGGUUGAGGAGACAUGACAGCAUUCUCAUGGAGCUAUGGAGAUUGGCUACACAGAUCCAACCU